rnacentral:lncRNA from 1 species
UACUUCGAGGAAGUCGUUGAGGUCGCAGCAGCUACGGAGCCUGACUGCAAGUGCGGUUCCAACUGCACCUGCGCUGGUUGCAACUGUGGCAAAUGAAAGCCUAUCUGCUAAAAUUAUUACUAUGUAAGCAAGGGAAUGAAAAAUGAAGCAAGUUAUCUAGGGUUUGGUUGUGGAGGAGUGUCAUUCUAUGAAGUGGUGAUGUAAGUCUGGGAGUAAGCUAAUGUCCAACUAUCUCAGCUAAGCAAUGUCUCCUCCCUAUCAUGUUUAAUGGACUUAUAUUAAAAAUAAGAUCUGGCUUUGGUUUG